rnacentral:sRNA from 1 species
ACUCGACCCAGGAAGUUCAGCUGGCCUCACCUCUCAAUUCAUCAAGAAAGACAUCUGAGAUGUAUGAAUAUCCUGUAAGACUGACCCAAAUCCUGCUGGCUUGGUGAGCUCAUCUCCCAGUUGCCUGAUUAUCUUAGAACAUUGAAGAGCUCCAGUGAAGAUGAAGACAGGGACUUGCUAUGGUACCCAGGCUGGACUUGAACUCUGGGGCUCAAGCAUUCCUCCCACCUCAGCCUCCCAAGUAGCUGGGCCUACAAGUCUUCUUGGCUUCAAGUCUUCUUCCUCAGCGGUCUCACUCUGUCACCAAGGCUGGAGUGCAGUGGUGCUGCGAUCUCGGCUCACUGCAACUUCCACCUCCAAGGCCCAAGCGAUCCUCCCACCACAGCCUCCUGAGUGGCUGGGACUAGAGGAGACAUUCAGAUCAGUUGACAAAGAAUGGCUGUUGCUGAAAUGACUUGCUGUCUCGGUGUGGAGUGGAAACAAUCCUGCUAAAUUUCACAUUGCAGUGACACCAAAGCAAAGGACAGAUCUCAAGACAACUUUUAUUGAAAUGGAAAACAGUAAUUUUAACUAAAGAAUAAGAGAAAUGCCAACAGAAAUAAAAGACCCAGAAAUCAGAGGACAAUGUGCAAAACUCUAUAUACUGAGACACACAAAUUGAAACAACCCAAAUAAAUGCCAAAUGCACAAGAAAAUAAAUGUAACUUAUCAGAGGUUAA